GGAGGGAUGGCUGAGUGGUCGAAAGCGGCGGUCUUGAAAACCGUUGAGGCGAAAGCCUCCGGGGGUUCGAAUCCCUCUCCCUCCGCCA
rnacentral:tRNA from 1 species